rnacentral:rRNA from 1 species
GAUGAACGCUGGCUACAGGCUUAACACAUGCAAGUCGAGGGGAAACGACGGGGAAGCUCGCUUCCCCGGGCGUCGACCGGCGCACGGGUGAGUAACGCGUAUCCAACCUGCCUCUGACUGAGGGAUAACCCGUCGAAAGUCGGCCUAAUACCUCAUGGCAUCGUCUGCGGGCAUCCAACGACGAUUAAAGAUUUCAUCGGUCAGAGAUGGGGAUGCGUCUGAUUAGCUUGUUGGCGGGGUAACGGCCCACCAAGGCGACGAUCAGUAGGGGUUCUGAGAGGAAGGUCCCCCACAUUGGAACUGAGACACGGUCCAAACUCCUACGGGAGGCAGCAGUGAGGAAUAUUGGUCAAUGGGCGAGAGCCUGAACCAGCCAAGUAGCGUGCAGGAUGACGGCCCUAUGGGUUGUAAACUGCUUUUAUGCGGGGAUAAAGUGAGGGACGUGUCCUUCAUUGCAGGUACCGCAUGAAUAAGGACCGGCUAAUUCCGUG